GGGGUUGGAGAUGACCAUGCGGAAAAAGUUGACCUUCUCUCCUUGCGGCUGGUAGCCCACCAUCGUAGUCCCAGACUCCAUCAUCAUCGCCUUGAUCUUUGGGGCCACCUGUUGCAGAGAACAUACAGAGUUGUGAGUCUUGUGCCUGUGUUUCCUGGACAUCAGCAAACCUCCACCCCAAGCACCCUACACAGGAAACACCAACAUUUACACGAGUGAGGAUGCUUAGAUGUCUGCAAUUUCAUUGAUGGGAUCAAAGGCUCCGUAGACGGUGGUGCCAGCGGUGGCGUUCACAAACAUCGGAACACAUCCCUGCAAACAGAAAACGGGAGAAAAAAGACAUUUGUCUGCACAUCACUUUGCCUUUGAAGGACGACUUCCAGGAGAGGUACUUUAGACCGGUGCCGCAUCGCAUGUGAGCAGACAGAAGCAUUAACCUCACUGAAAUAACCUGGCUGCCCUGGCACACACAAGUGCUCCCUUUGC